CAAUUAAUAAAGCAAGGUAAUAUGCACAUAAAUUGAAUUGGGUCUCUAGGCCUGCCGUCUCUGAUGUUAUUUGGCUUUAAUUUGGGGCAUGCUUCCGCAGCAAAACA